GGUCAAGUGACUAAGUGCAUGUGGUGGAUGCCUUGGCAAUUACAGGCGACGAAGGACGUGAUAGCCUGCGAUAAGCUUCGGGGAGCUGGCAAAUUAGCUUUGAUCCGGAGAUUUCCGAAUGGGGAAACCCACCCGCAAGGGUAUCAACAUCUGAAUACAUAGGGUGUUGAGGCGAACCGGGCGAACUGAAACAUCUCAGUAGCUCGAGGAACAGACAUCAACCGAGAUUCCGAAAGUAGUGGCGAGCGAAAUCGGAGGAGCCUGUACGAUUUAGCAGUCUGCAUAUCAAAACGGAAUGGAAAGUCCGGCCAUAGUAGGUGAUAGCCCUGUAUGAGAAAUGCAAUCUGUGGAACUGAGCGUACGACAAGUAGGGCGGGACACGUGUAAUCCUGUCUGAAGAUGGGGGGACCAUCCUCCAAGGCUAAAUACUCGUAAUUGACCGAUAGUGAACAAGUACCGUGAGGGAAAGGCGAAAAGAACCCCGGGAGGGGAGUGAAAUAGAUCCUGAAACCGCAUGCAUACAAAAAGUAGGAGCCCGCAAGGGUGACUGCGUACCUUUUGUAUAAUGGGUCAGCGACUUACAUUCAGUGGCGAGCUUAACCGAAUAGGGAAGGCGAAGGGAAACCGAGUCCGAACAGGGCGAUUUAGUCGCUGGGUGUAGACCCGAAACCAGGUGAUCUAUCCAUGGCCAGGAUGAAGGUACCGUAACAGGUGCUGGAGGUCCGAACCGACUAGUGUUGCAAAACUAGCGGAUGAGCUGUGGAUAGGGGUGAAAGGCUAAACAAACCUGGAGAUAGCUGGUUCUCUCCGAAAACUAUUUAGGUAGUGCCUCAAGUAUUACCAUCGGGGGUAGAGCACUGUUUAGGCUAGGGGGUCAUGGCGACUUACCAAACCUAUGCAAACUCCGAAUACCGAUGAGUACAGCUUGGGAGACAGUGCACCGGGUGCUAACGUCCGGACACAAGAGGGAAACAACCCAGACCGCCAGCUAAGGUCCCCAAAAUUGGCUAAGUGGGAAACGAAGUGGGAAGGCUAAAACAGUCAGGAUGUUGGCUUAGAAGCAGCCAUCAUUUAAAGAAAGCGUAAUAGCUCACUGAUCGAGUCGUCCUGCGCGGAAGAUGUAACGGG
rnacentral:rRNA from 1 species